rnacentral:rRNA from 1 species
UCUAUCCUACGGGAGGCAGCAGUAAGGAAUAUUGGACAAUGGACGCAAGUCUGAUCCAGCCAUGCCGCGUGAAGGAUGAAUGCCCUCUGGGUUGUAAACUUCUUUUACAGGGGAAGAAAGUUAUGUUUUUUUGGAUGAUUGACGGUACCCUAUGAAUAAGCACCGGCUAACUCCGUGCCAGCAGCCGCGGUAAUACGGAGGGUGCAAGCGUUAUCCGGAUUCACUGGGUUUAAAGGGUGCGUAGGCGGGUAUGUAAGUCAGUGGUGAAAUCCCGGAGCUUAACUUGGGAACUGCCAUUGAUACUAUAUAUCUUGAAUAUUGUGGAGGUGAGCGGAAUAUGUCAUGUAGCGGUGAAAUGCUUAGAUAUGACAUAGAACACCGAUUGCGAAGGCAGCUGCUACGCAAAUAUGACGCUGAGCACGAAAGAGGCG